rnacentral:rRNA from 1 species
GCCCAACCAUAAACUUUUAUUUACAACCUACCCGCCAGAAGACUACGAGCCCUGCUUAAAACUCAAAGGACUUGACGGUAUUCCAUAUCCGACUAGAGGAGCCUGUCCUAUCAUCGAUAAUCCCCGCUAAACCUCACCCCUUUUAGCCUCUCAGCCUGUAUACUUCCGUCACCAAAUCACCACAUGAGCGCAACUCAGUGUAUGACCCCGCCUAACCCGCACAAACGUCAGGUCAAAGUGCAGCAAAUAAAGUAGGAAGAGAUGGGCUACAUUCUCUAAUAUAGAACAUACGAAAGACUAAUGAAAUCUAGUCAUGAAGGCGGAUUUAGAAGUAAGGAGAGAAUAGAGUGCUCCCCUUAACUAGGCACUGGAAUGUGUA